ACAGGGGUUAUUCGUGUAUGUGGG
rnacentral:piRNA from 1 species